UAAUGCCGGUUGCUACAAAAGUACAUUGACCAUUGCCACUUUACAUCAAGAGCUAGACAAGAAAAUAAAAUCCUACAAUUUUUGUGAGGCUCAGGAUGGGAAGGGCGCAUGUGACAGGAAGGCAUCCCAUAUCAAGUCGGCUAUAAAAAGAUAUGUAAACGAGGGCAAUAAUGUGACAACUGCACACCAAAUGAAACUGGCAAUUGAUUCGCAACAAAGAGGCCAGUACAUGGUGAAAGUGAUAAGUCCUGUUAUUAAUGCUGAUGAUGAUAAGGUCUCACUUAGAAGUAUUCCAUUGAUUUCUAUGCUCCAUAAUUUUAAGUUUACUGAUAAUGGAUUGCAAGUUUAGAGAGCUUAAGAUAUUGGUCAAGGAAAGUUGAUAUCAUGGAACAGCAUUAUUGAUAAGAAAAUUCCUGUGAUACAGCUUUUUGUUCAUCAUGAUUGGUCGUAUACCCAGUUUGCUACCGUGGGUUCAGUAGUUGUUGACAGAGAGGAUGAUGAUGGUGAUGAUGAUGAGGCGGA